AAGACCUUGUGCUUUUGGAGCGGCCGAUGUCUGAUUAGCUUGUUGGUAAGGUAAAAGCUUACCAAGGCUUCGAUCAGUAGCUGGUCUGAGAGGACGACCAGCCACACUGGGACUGAGACACGGCCCAGACUCCUACGGGAGGCAGCAGUGGGGAAUUUUGGACAAUGGGGGCAACCCUGAUCCAGCCAUGCCGCGUGAGUGAAGAAGGCCUUCGGGUUGUAAAGCUCUUUCAGCCGGAACGAAACGGUUACGGUUAAUACCCGUGACUACUGACGGUACCGGAAGAAGAAGCACCGGCUAACUACGUGCCAGCAGCCGCGGUAAUACGUAGGGUGCAAGCGUUAAUCGGAAUUACUGGGCGUAAAGCGUGCGCAGGUGGUUUUGUAAGUCAGAUGUGAAAUCCCCGGGCUUAACCUGGGAACU
rnacentral:rRNA from 1 species